AUUGAACGCUGGCGGAAUGCUUUACACAUGCAAGUCGAACGGCAGCACGGGUGCUUGCACCUGGUGGCGAGUGGCGAACGGGUGAGUAAUACAUCGGAACGUACCCAGUUAUGGGGGAUAACUAACCGAAAGGUUAGCUAAUACCGCAUACGCCCUGAGGGGGGAAAGCGGGGGACCGUAAGGCCUCGCGUAAUUGGAGCGGCCGAUGGCGGAUUAGCUAGUUGGUGGGGUAAAGGCCUACCAAGGCGACGAUCCGUAGCUGGUCUGAGAGGACGACCAGCAACACUGGAACUGAGACACGGUCCAGACUCCUACGGGAGGCAGCAGUGGGGAAUUUUGGACAAUGGGCGAAAGCCUGAUCCAGCCAUUCCGGGUGAGUGAAGAAGGCCUUCGGGUUGUAAAGCCCUUUCGGCAGGGAAGAAACGGUUCUGAAUAAUACUCGGAGCUAAUGACGGUACCUGAAGAAGAAGCACCGGCUAACUACGUGCCAGCCGCCGCGGUAA
rnacentral:rRNA from 1 species